GCAGCCUUUCCCUACAUUUCUGCAAGAGGCUGUUUCCAGGACUUGAACCGGUGACCUCAUGGUCACAAGGCAGCAGCUUUACCACUGCGCCAAGGCUCCGCGUCGGUGCUGCAUAUAGGGUUCUAAAAUAAGGUUGGUUAAGCUUUGUUAUGAUAUGCCAGUACAAUAAGUUUUCACUGCAUUGGAUAUAACAUAUUUAACUAGCAUCACACAAUGAAGUAAUUUAACUUAAUUUAAAAGAGCAACAAAAUUAUUGCCAUCUUUCUGUAAAAGGUCUAGAAAAUACGAGUUUAAGCUUCCAAUCCUUUGGUUCCUAGGGAACAUAUAGUUCAGUUUGAACAGUUCAUGAUGAAAACAUAUUACUGCUGGUAUUGGUUCUGGAGCAGUCAAUUUUUUGAAUACUUCUAUUAUUUCUACUGGGUAUGAUAUCUCCUCCUAAUGUCUCAGUUGGUACUCUCCGCUCACCGGUUAAAUUUCGUCCCACCAAACCUGUUUUUUUUCGUACCUCCUCCCACCUCACUGUGAGCCGCGUCGAAUCAAAAAAACCUCGUAGCGACCCCCCACGCAGUCCAGUUGCUAUCCUCCCGUCGCACCCAAGAAAAACAGAUGAAAAAAAUCUACAAAAUAAAACCUACGUAAAUUAACCAACGAAAAAAACCCCAAACCAAUCGCACGCGCGCGGAGGCCUCCCACCCUCGAGCGAGAACCACUCGCACGCACGACUCUCUGCCCUCGUUCGUCGCUGCCGCCGCUCCAUCCUUCGCCGCCGCCCUCGCACAUCAAAGCCGGCGUCGCUCCAUUCUUCACCUCCGCUCCAGAUCCGAGCCGCCAUUGAGCCCUUCUACAUCAGUGACCAGUUAAGACAUGGCCGCGCUGUAUGAGUCACCGGCGGCCGGCUGCGUGCUGGAGGUGGACGCGGCGCUGCUCGCGGAGAUGUGUGGCCGGAUCGAUGAGGAGACCAAGAAGUUCGACGAGAACCGCUCUUGUGAGAUCUGGAGGCAAUCAAAAGCAGGAAGGGGAGAUCGAUGCUUGGGGUUGACAUCCAAUGACCCAGGCAUCACCCUCUCCUGACGUCUUACUACAAGCCCACAGCCACUGCCUCCUCGAUCUACGCUAGCCUGCAGCAGCAAGAUUUGGAUUCAUCAUGACUUAUCUAAGCAGAGAGAUCAUAGCACUGAUUUACGUGACCUCAGACCACUUGAGCACCGAGCAGUCUCUUCCUACAGAACAAAUAGAGGGAUUUCCUGACAAUCAAAUGCAAAGUUUGCCACUUGCACUACUGAUUAUAUAUGUUGCAUAGUGUACCAAUUUGAUGAUGUGCUCAUGACUGAUCUUCCUUGGACAGAACAAGGAAUUUAGGGUGCUCCAAGUAAUGAGCUUGAUGCUGCUUCAAGGCUGGAAGAGACAUUCAACUUCUAGCAUACUACAAGUCCUGAUGUAGCUAAGCUUUUUCACAUUGACCCUGAAGCCAAGUGCACCUCUCUAGUCUUUGUUGGAGCUGAUUGCCAACUCCUCUUCUUCUUCGUCUAGCUUCCUCUCAAAGCUCACGCAAGAACAAAAGAACACAAAUAUUUGGUGGCCGCUGUAUCACACAGCCGACCCUUUUCUCUUCUCUGUAUACUUUUCUCAAAGCAAAUAUGCGUACAAGUGCUUAAGUAGACUCAGCCCACGCAGCCGGGCCACACACUCGCCCACUAACUGCAUGCACGCACCCACUCACACCACUAACUAAUGACCUGAUCUUCUCCUAGAAUCACUCUAGGAACCACACGACCCGGCCACUCAUGCAACAACAGCUAGCAACCUCGGACAUGCAUACACAGCAGCCUCUCGCCACCGUUCGGCAUAUCUCGCCAUGCGCCAUAUCUCACGGCUCCUCGCAUCUCACCUCCUGCAUGUUCUCCGAGGCUCCACCUGCUACAACUACCUAUAUGCAUGGACAAGCAAACUAAUAUGCAGAUACAUGUGAAUCAAGAUUAACAAAGCUAACAGUCUUGCCUUGCUGAAGAAAGAGGAGGAGAAGUUGAACGUAUAAGGUAUUUUCAUCACUAACUUGGUUCAGCUUCCAGCAGCCUUUCUAUGUAUAUUAGAUGAUUUUGGCCUAUGAAUUCGAUAUAAAUGUACCAUUCAUUGUGCUGACAGCGAGUUCAGAGCAAUCUGCCAUUGCCGAAUUCAUGUCAGUUAACACACUUCCACUGAUCACGACCCUCACACAGGAAAAUGCAUCUGCGAUAUUUGAUAGUCCAGUCAAGAAAGAAAUUUGUUCUCGUCCUCCUCUAUUUUGCAAUAACUCGUUCAGUUUGCGUCGAUCCUUCGUUUCCUUUUCCUAUCAAGGCUGGUAGUUAUUCCUCUUCUUGAUUGUUUUGUGUGUUGUCACAUGCGUCGUGGCCGGAGGCCACGUGAAACCCACCUCCGCCGCCAGGGGCGACCACUAUUUCCUCUUGCUUCACUGCCUUGUAGCCAAGGAGAUCAUGCCUCUUGCUUCACUGCCUUGUAGCCAAGGAGAUCAU